UACGGAGGGUGCAAGCGUUAUCCGGAUUCACUGGGCUUAAAGGGUUCGUAGGCGGGCAAGUAAGUCAGUGGUGAAAUCUCCGGGCUUAACCCGGAAACUGCCAUUGAUACUAUUUGUCUUGAAUACUGUGGAGGUCAGCGGAAUAUGUCAUGUAGCGGUGAAAUGCGUAGAUAUGACAUAGAACACCAAUUGCGAAGGCAGCUGGCUAGACAAAUAUUGACACUGAGGCACGAAAGCGUGGGGAUCAAACAUG
rnacentral:rRNA from 1 species